UCUGAAUGGAGUGUACAUUUUUGAGGCUUCAAAAUGUGAAGUCCAAAUCAAUGCUGAUUUAUUAUGUAGGUUGGUUGAAUACUAUAAAGCCCAGAAGUUGCCAAAUGAUUGGAAUAGUCCGUGUCAUUUACAAAUAUGAAGUUGUUACAAGCAGGAAUCGUGUUAUUCAUAAUGUUUCUUCUGGUCUGUAAAAACAAAGGCCAUUCUGAUUGCUGCAUUAAUAAUGACGACUUGGACAUCUGUGGCCAAAAAGUGGCGAGGAAUUGUCCUCAUUUACAAAAUAAGGUUAUACGUUGUGAGCAAACUGUGGCACGUGAGAGAAGACGUGAGCAAAGAUUGAGAGAUGAAAUGAGCAACUGAAUUUGAUUUAAACAAAACAUCGCCAAAUAUAGAUCAAAACAGCUGUUCCUUUUAAAUUGAUGAAACAAAUGU